rnacentral:rRNA from 1 species
AGAGUUUGAUCAUGGCUCAGGACGAACGCUGGCGGCGUGCCUAACACAUGCAAGUCGAACGGGGUGAGGCCCUUCGGGACCUUUACCUAGUGGCGAACGGGUGAGUAACGCGUGAGGAACCUGCCUUUCAGUGGGGGACAACAGUUGGAAACGACUGCUAAUACCGCAUGAAGCUUUUGGGAGACAUCUCCUGGAAGCCAAAGCUUAAUGUGCUGAAAGAUGGCCUCGCGUCUGAUUAGCUAGUUGGUGGGGUAACGGCCCACCAAGGCGACGAUCAGUAGCCGGUCUGAGAGGAUGAACGGCCACAUUGGGACUGAGAUACGGCCCAGACUCCUACGGGAGGCAGCAGUGGGGAAUAUUGGGCAAUGGGCGAAAGCCUGACCCAGCAACGCCGCGUGAAGGAAGAAGGCCUUCGGGUUGUAAACUUCUUUUACCAGGGACGAAGGACGUGACGGUACCUGGAGAAAAAGCAACGGCUAACUACGUGCCAGCAGCCGCGGUAAUACGUAGGUUGCAAGCGUUGUCCGGAUUUACUGGGUGUAAGGGGCGUGUAGGCGGAGAUGCAAGUUAGGAGUGAAAUCUAUGGGCUCAACCCAUAAACUGCUUCUAAAACUGUAUCCCUUGAGUAUCGGAGAGGCAAGCGGAAUUCCUAGUGUAGCGGUGAAAUGCGUAGAUAUUAGGAGGAACACCAGUGGCGAAGGCGGCUUGCUGGACGACAACUGACGCUGAGGCGCGAAAGCGUGGGGAGCAAACAGGAUUAGAUACCCUGUAGUCCACGCUGUAAACGAUGAAUACUAGGUGUGGGGGGACUGACCCCCUCCGUGCCGCAGUUAACACAAUAAGUAUUCCACCUGGGGAGUACGACCGCAAGGUUGAAACUCAAAGGAAUUGACGGGGGCCCGCACAAGCAGUGGAUUAUGUGGUUUAAUUCGACGCAACGCGAAGAACCUUACCAGGACUUGACAUCCAACUAACGAAGUAGAGAUACAUCAGGUGCCCUUCGGGGAAAGUUGAGACAGGUGGUGCAUGGUUGUCGUCAGCUCGUGUCGUGAGAUGUUGGGUUAAGUCCCGCAACGAGCGCAACCCCUAUUGUUAGUUGCUACGAAAGAGCACUCUAGCGAGACUGCCGUUGACAAAACGGAGGAAGGCGGGGACGACGUCAAAUCAUCAUGCCCCUUAUGUCCUGGGCUACACACGUAAUACAAUGGUGGCCAACAGAGGGAAGCGAAGCCGUGAGGCGGAGCAAAUCCCUAAAAGCCAUCUCAGUUCGGAUUGCAGGCUGCAACUCGCCUGCAUGAAGCUGGAAUUGCUAGUAAUCGCGGAUCAGCAUGCCGCGGUGAAUACGUUCCCGGGCCUUGUACACACCGCCCGUCACACCAUGAGAGUCGGGAACACCCGAAGUCCGUAGUCUAACCGCAAGGGGGGCGCGGCCGAAGGUGGGUCCGGUAAUUGGGGUGAAGUCGUAACAAGGUA